AAUCGUAUGAAUACACACCAACAAACCGGGGAACACCUACCAACCGGGGAAUUCCCCGGUUGGUUUUAGGCGAAAAUCUCUAAUCUACGUGAAUGAAAUACCAAACUGUCAAUUUAAGUUAGAAAUCCAACGCCUUCCCCGAUUAGCGGGUUUGUGGCGUGCACAAAAUAUACACAAAUCUUGACCAUAUUACAAUCGAGUGUGUAUCCAGGCUUAUAACAGUUCCCCGGUUGCGCUGUUUAAAAAUCAUACACUCGGUAUUUAUAUCAUUUAGUGAAAGUCAGUUGGAAAAAUGGAGUUUCGAGCGAACAAACGCAUUAAACUAAGGCAACACAAUGACUACUAGAUCUACGGACAGCCAGGAACCAGAGCAAACAACAUCCAUACACACGGAAGAAGUCGAUGAGACGAGUACCGAAACUAAAGAACAUAGCGACACUGCACAAGAGUACAAUUCACAAGAUGCAGCAGAAAAUAUGUUGAACUGUGAAUCAUCGGAUAUCGAUGAUAGUGACAAUGACAAAGACUAUAUUCCGGAAGAAGGCGAUGCAUCGUCAGAUGAGUCGAUAGUUGUCGAACUCAUACCAAACAUUCAAAGAUUUCAAAAGAAGACAGCGUCAACACUACCUCCUAUUGAAUCCUUGCAAUCUCGUGAACGUGACGAAUCAUCCGCAGAGGCACACAAAACCAACAUCACCAUCGCUCAAACAAAUAACAGUGAAUACAGACAUUACGAUAAGAGAUUUUAUUGCAUGUUUUGCGAAAAGGCUCAAACAAAACUAAACAAACAUUUGCUUUCGCAGCAUAAAGAUGGGCAAGAUGUGAAAGAUCUAUUAAAUACGGAAAAUUCAGCAGAAAAUAAAAAAAUGUAUGAACAAAUAAGGAACGUUGGGAACCAUCUCCAUAAUGUUAAAGUAUUGCGAGAUGGCCAAGGACAGCUGUUUGUGUCAUACAGACAACGUAACAAUCAACGCGUAGCUGCAGACGAGUAUGGACCUUGUCCUUACUGUUACGGGUAUUACCCGAAGAAAAUCCUGUGGAGGCACACUCAAAAAUGUAAGUUUACAAAUGCGGCGGGAUCAAGAAAACGACUCGCUUUAGAGAGCAGCCUGCUAUUACCAAAAUCAAAAGAAGAAAGCACUAUUUUUAAGACGAGUAAUCGAGUCCAUGAGAAACGACGAAAUAAGUCGCAUAGUCAAAAGUGAUAAUACAAUCCUUGCAUUCGGUGAAAAACUCUGUACAAAAAGGGGCCAUGAUGAAGAGCAACACAAUUAUAUUAGACAGAAGUUAAGAGAAGUUGGUAGAUUGCUGAAAGACAUGCGAUCUUGUUCAGGCAAUGUUGAAAAGUCUUUGGAGAAUUUCAUGUAUCCAGAUGCUUUCAAAUUUAUUACACAAUCUUGCAAAAACGUUGCAGGCUUCGACGGAAACACCAAUACUUAUGCUACACCAUCAUUAGCCUUAAAGAUUGGCACAACGCUUCAGAAAUGUCUAAAAAUUCUAAUUUCGAAAGGAAUCGAAACAAGCAACCGGGAUCUGCAAACAAGGGCUGAGGAUCUUUCCAAACUAUUUGAAAUUAAUUGGACGGAUGACAUGUCUUCCAAUGCCUUAAGAACACUUCAUGAGGCUAAGCAGAACAGUCAGAAAGGACUGUUGCCAUUGGCAAAUGAUGUCAAAGUAAUGUCUGAAUACUUACGACAUGAAGCAGAAACACAUGCAAAUACCUUACAAGGAUCAGCAAGUGAUUGCGAGAAAAGGCAAGCAUGGCAUAAGUUGUCUGAAAUCUGCUUGUGCUAAACUAUUCUUUUUAAUCGAUACGAUCAGGCGAGGUGUCAAAAAUGACAGUCGAAGAAUAUUCAAAAAACAAAUUGACAAAUGACGAUGGAGAAUUAGAUGGAUGUUUAACAAAACUGGAAAAAGACCUGUGCCGUUAUUUUUACCGUACAGAGAUUAUUGCAAAACGAGGUCGAAUAGCUGCAGUACUGUUUCCAAGACAAGUGAAAGAAAAUAUCGACCUCCUCAUACGCAGCAGAAAUUCUCUAACAAACUGUUUAAAUAGUAAAUUUCUUUUCCCAACAAAAUCUGCAUCAUCGCAUAUUCGUGGGACAGACGUAUUACGUUCAAUUGCAAUUGACUGUGGAGUUGAACAUCCGAAAAGGCUUCGUUCUACAAAGUUAAGGAACCAUAUUGCCACAAUGACUCAGCUUUUUAACUUGUCUGAAAAUGAAAUAGACAUUCUAGCUAAAUUUCUUGGUCACGAAAUUCGGGUACAUAGAGAAUUCUACAGAUUACCAGAUGGAACCAUGCAGGUUGCCAAAGUCAGCAAGCUGCUCAUGAUGAUGGAAAGUGGACAAAUUACCAGAAAUUCUGUCAAUUCGCUAGACGAUAUUGAUGUUGACGACGAAUGUAUUGUAGAUAAACAAUAUUCUUCUGAAUUAUCAGAAAAUGAAAAUACUGAAGACCUUGAAACUCUGCUUCCCAGCACCAGUCAACCAAAAAUAACAGACAAAGGAAUGCAUACACAUGUGAAUGCAUUUAAGUUAUGUAUCUCCAAGUUUCUUAUGUUUCUUAGAACAUGAUUUUCUUACAUGUAAUUGUUUGAUUCAUUAGGCAAAAUAAUGUUUCCAAAUUUUUCGUGUGACAUCGAUGUCAUUAUCAGGUGCCGUAAGUACCUGGACGCUUUUGUCGUAAUUUUGCUAUGAAAAAUUGUACUGAAGUAUAUAUAUUUAAUAUGGAUAUCUUACACAUGGCAGUUAGCGACGUCAUAUGGUGUUUUAUUAUCCAUGUACAGUAAAGGGUACUUCAAAUACCAGGAGAACAAAACAAGCAGCCAAAGAGCAAUGGAGUGAAGACGAAAACAGGAGCUGUUCACAGACACUUAGAUCGUUUUUUGAUAAUGGGUAAAUUACCAGGGAAAAAAGAAUUACUAGCAUGUAUUGAAAGUGAGAAUGACCUUCACAACAGAAGUUGGAAAAAUGUCAAAGACUUUUGCAGAAAUUUAAUUGAAACAAAAAAGCGACGGGGACUUUUAACUUAAAAAAAUAUUACACAUAUAAUGCACGUUUAGGAGAAUACAUUAAAGGAUGAAGUUGCCACAUGUGUUUUGUGUGUUUUCUUGUUCUAUAUACUCUUUUCGAAAACGAUAUAUGUGUGCUUAUUGUAUUUGAAUGUUUUAUUAAAACGGUUCAGUCAAAAACGAUAUUUGUUCAUAAUCAUAUCGCCGAACAAAUUAGGAUUGGUAUAUAGUUCGGCCAAAGAGUGUUUCUUUGUACUUUCUAUUACGAGUUUCUACGAGUUACUCACUAUACAAGUUAUUUUUUACCCCAAACUUGGUGAAUAUGAAUGAAUAUAGCAAACAUGAUAACAAAUCAAUCUAGAAGGCUAAACGUUCAGAGAAGGCACAAAAAAAUUCAGUCGGAUAAAUGGAAACAAACAUUUUGUUUAAGCAUAACAAACAAACACUUUUAGAUGUAAUAAGAUAAAUGUAAAUAACAUAAAAAAAAACUACUGCUAAACUACUGCUACAAUGUGAAGAAUACAAAUGAAUAUUUUGUCAAUUUUACAAAAUUUGUUUUGAAUGACAGGUGUCUGACUUGCAGUUGAGUACUUAAUAGUUAUUUUAAAGUAAAACUUUACCAAUAUGUAAAUUAUUGCGUAAAUAUCGCACUAGAAUUGAUUAAAUAGUUGUUAAAUAUUACAAUAAUUUCCUACACAGACUUUUGUGCAUUUGUUUUGCGUGUAGAUAUUCACAUUAACUAUCAAUUCACAUAUUUGCUUUGUGCAUAUAAUUGGUAUGUUUAUAUUUUGAAUUGAGUCACACUGUUAUAAUUUCCCUGUUGGUACAUAUUAUUUUUAAGUUGGCACCAACAAGGGUCUAACAAUUGAUUCACAUGUGCACUCCCCAGUAAGUAUAUAUACUAUAAUGUAAGUGAUGCAAAAUAAUAUUAAACUACGUGUUUGAUAAGUGUUUGCUUUGGUACAUAUUUAAUUAUUAGUGUUUUUAUAUAAUGAUAAUGCUGUCAAAGUCAGCGGUGAUUAUACGUGUAUAACAACAUUAAUUAACACUUUUAUAUUGUUUUCAACAAAUAAUAUAUGGUUGACACAUCGGCAUAAAUUUUCAGUGCUUAAAAUACACUCUUUCUAUUAUAUUUUAUGCAAAAAUUAGGUACAUAAGUUGGUUUACAUAAAGGUAGUUUGAACAAAAUACGUGAAUUCAAAUCUUGAAAAAAGGUGUUUGGUUUGCAAGGGAAAACUAAGCGAUUGCCAGUGACUAUUUUCCUUAAAAUAUAAUCUGUUAUUUCGACAGGUAGAAUUAAAUGUAAGUUCAUUAUUAACGUUAACCCGUUUUUGGCAUUCUCUACUCAAACAAGUGCAUACAUACUGUAUUUUUUUAAUACAGCACAUGUGUAAUGGUAUCACAGUUGUAGAAUUGGAAUUCAUAUAUUAUAACAAUAAAUACUGAUCAUUAUUCAGAUUGACCUACCGCCGUAGACUAAGUCACUGGCGCUUCAAAAUGCAUUGUUAUCAAGUCGUUUUGCUAGUUUACUAAACUAUUUUGUUUCUCAGGCCUCGCCACAUUCGUUGUGAAACGUUCAUAAUUGUUUAAAGUUACAGAUUUUAUUAUUUUUGAAAAUGCAAUAAAUGUAUUUAAGACAAUUUAAGUGAAGUGGAAGGUGCCAUGCGUGUGAAUGAAUUUUCUGAUGUUUACCUGUUUCAGGGGAUUAAAUGCAUGAGUUAUUUUAGAAUGUCAGAGUAAGGACAAAGUAAAUUUACACUACUAAAUCUACAUGCUUAUGGGCAGUUCUACUUUUAGGAUAAAAAACUUCAUAGUACGUGAACAUCGUGAAUAUUUUUUUCUGAUGGAAAAAAAGGAAUAAAACAAAUAAACCGCCUCCCCCUCUCCUUCACUCGGUUUUACAAAUAGCGUGGCCUGAAAAAAAAUAACAUUAUUUUUUAGUUUUAAGAACGAAUUGUAUUCAUUUGUUGAUUAAUUCACCAUGAUUGUUAUGGUAUAAUGCAGCACUUGCAUGCUUGUAGUCGGCUUAUAGCUAAUAAAGUCAUAAAUGUAUUGUUUGAUUUGC